rnacentral:lncRNA from 1 species
UGUACUAGAAGGUUCUUGAACCUCUAGAUAUUCUUCAUUCCUUAUAGUACUCUCGAACGGAUUAGGGAGAAAAUCGUAGUUCUCCUCUUCGGGAACAUUCCAAUCACAUGUUGCUUCUUCAUCGAACACCACGUCUCGACUUGAUUUUACUUUACCGGUCUUGGGAUUGUAUAGCUUGUAACCCUUCGAACUUGAGUCAUAGCCCACGA